CUGCUCUGUAAAUUAAACAUUAAUCAAAGACAGUAAGUUCCUGCAGGGUCUAAGAGGCUAUUAACAGAGCAGGAGACAAUAUAUUAUAGCUGAAACAGACUGUGCAAUACAGGAUCCUAGAAUUUAUAUGUUACUUUUCAGGAAAAUUUUAGGGAGGCUGUGUAAAUCACAUGCAGGAGGUCGUACUAGGGCUGUAAUUUAACUCCUAAAUGGCAGAGAAUUGAGCAAUGAGGCUGCAGGGCAUGAUCU